rnacentral:rRNA from 1 species
GACGAACGCUGGCGGCGUGCUUAACACAUGCAAGUCGAACGAAGUGGCGAACGGGUGAGUAAUACGUGAGUAACCUGCCCUCCUUUUUGGGAUAAGCCUUGGAAAAGGGGUAUGAUACCGAAUAAAUGGGGAUGGGCUCGCGGCCUAUCAGCUUGUUGGUGGGGUGAUGGCCUACCGAGGGGGUGACGGGUAGCCGGCCUGAGAGGGGUACCGGGCACAUUGGGAAGGAGCUACGGCCCAGAGUGGUACGGGAGGCGGCAGUUGUGGAUAUGGCACAAUGGGCGGAGGCCUGAUGCGGCGACGCCGCGUGCGGGAUGCAGGAUUUCGGGUUCUAAACCUCUUUCGGUAUCGAACGGGUAGGUGGAAACGAAGCGCCGGCUAACUACGUGCCAGCAGCCGCGGUAAUAC